GCUAGCGUAGCUCAGUUGGUAGAGCUUCCGCCUUGUAAGCGGACGGUCGAGGGUUCAAGUCCCUCCGCUAGCUCCA
rnacentral:tRNA from 1 species